AACGCACAUUGCGCCCCUUGGUAUUCCGAGGGGCAUGCCUGUUCGAGCGUCAUUACAACCCUCAAGCAAUGCUUGGUGUUGGGCCGCGCCGCUAACCCGGCGGGCCCUAAAACCAGUGGCGGUGCCGUCGGGCUCUGAGCGUAGUAAUUCUUCUCGCUAUAGAGCCCCGGCGGAUGCUAGCCAGCAACCCCCAAUUUUCUAUGGUUGACCUCGGAUCAGGUAGGGAUACCCGCUGAACUUAA
rnacentral:misc_RNA from 2 species